GACGAACGCUGGCGGCGUGCUUAACACAUGCAAGUCGAACGGACAGGCCCUGCCUUUGUGCGGUGCUCGAGUGGCGAACGGGUGAGUAACCCGUGAGUAACCUGCCCUUGACUUUGGGAUAACUUCAUGCAACUGACGCUAAUACCGGAUAGGAGCCACUGCUGCAUGGUGGGCGCUGGACAGUUUCGGCGGUUGGGGAUGUACUCGCGGCUCAUCAGAUUGUUGGUGGGGUAGUGGCUUAGCAAGGCUUUGAGGGGUAGCCGGCCUGAGAGGAGAACCGGCCAAGUUGGAAUGGAGAUACGACACAGACUACUACGGGACGCAACGGUGGGGAGGGGUGCAUAGUGGGCGGAAGGCAGAUGUGGCCACGCCGCGUGCGGGAAGACGGGAAUGGGGUUGUGAUCCGAUUUCGCCUGGGACGAAGCGUGAGUGACGGUAAUGGAUAAAGAAGCACCGGCUAACUACGUG
rnacentral:rRNA from 1 species